GUUUAUAUUUAAAUUUUCUCAGGAAAUGCUUGAUAAAGAGAAAAUCAUAAAUGACUCGAUUGGCAUUUUACUAGAUAAGAAUAUUCCAUUAACUGAUAAAUUUCGCGCUGUCUUUACCUUACGCAAUAUAGGCGGCAAGAAAGCUAUUGAUUCUAUUUGUAAGUGCAUUGAAAUUGAAUCCUCAGUAUUGCUAAAGCAUGAAUGUGCUUAUUGUCUUGGUCAAAUGAAAGAUUCUUAUUCUAUUCCAAAAUUACUCGAAAUACUUAGUGAUGAAAAAGUAGAAAUAAUUGUAAGACAUGAAGCAGCAGAGGCUAUUGCUGCCAUAGGAGAAGAAUCUACACUUGUGAUUAACACCCUCAAAAAAUAUAUUCAGCAUACUAAUAAAGAAUUAAAAGAAACGUGUUACCUAGCUCUUAGAAGAUUUUCUUGGUUGAAGGAAUGCAAAGAGAAGCGAAAUAGCAUAAAGAAUCCUUCCUUUUCUUACGAUGGUUCUAUCAUAUCUUACGAUACUAUUGACCCAACUCCAUCUUUGCAAUCGGAUUUCUCCCUGAAUCCAGAUAAUGUCGAUCCAUCAUACUUACUAACAAUGAGCGAAAGAAUUUUGAAGGACCCUGAAGCAGAUUUGUAUGAUAGGUAUAAAGCUAUUUUCACUCUCAGGGACAUUGGGACUGAUGAUGCAGUUGAAAUAAUGGCACAGGUUUUAGCCGAUCCUAAAAAUACCCAGUCCUACUUAUUAAAGCACGAGCUAGCCUUCGUUAUGGGUCAGAUGCAAAACCCUAUAUGUCUGUUACCACUAAAAGAAAGGCUUAGUGAUAAAACUGAUCAUUGUAUGGUAAGACACGAAUGCGCUGAAGCCAUAGGAUCUAUCAUUGGAUAUCUAAAUGCGAAUCCAACUUCUGGUGGAACUAGCGAAAAUAUUUUAAAUUUCUCAAUUAUUCUACAGGAUGUUAAUAAUCAAAUCGGAGAAGUAGGCGCAAAUCAGAGAAGAAAUAUUGAUGAUAGAAAGAUAGAUAGAUAGUGAUUAAAAGAAAUUGAACCUGUGAAAUAAAUUGCAAUCCACGAUAAUUAACUUAUUGAAAGCUGCUAGAUUUAUUAGGGGAUCAGGUAAUCAAAAAAUUUGGGUACCUUCAAAGAGAUUUAAAAUGAAGCAUACCAAUGCAUUCCAGAAAAAAUCCUCUUGACCUUGAGCCAAAUUAAUUGUAAAGAUAUUCCUAAUCUAGCCAAAUCUUAUGAAAAUUUAUUAAAAUAUUAUUUAACCGACCCUGAACCAUUGGUCAAAGAAUCGUGCGCUAUAGCUUUGGAUAUAUCUGAUUAUAUUAGUGAUUCUCAACAAUUU